ACACUGCUGUAGAGUCCUACAAUAGGGCGAAACCGCCGUUCAGUGU
rfam:Schistosoma haematobium scaffold179_11, whole genome shotgun sequence.